UACGUAGGGUGCGAGCGUUAAUCGGAAUUACUGGGCGUAAAGCGUGCGCAGGCGGUUCGUUGUGUCGGCGGUGAAAGCCCCCGGGCUUAACCUGGGAAUGGCCGUUGAAACUGGCGAACUGGAGUGUGGCAGAGGGGGGUGGAAUUCCUGGUGUAGCGGUGAAAUGCGCAGAGUAUCAGGAGGAACACCUAUUGCGAAGGCAGCUCGCUGGGACGUUACUGCGCUGAGACGCGAAAGCGUGGGGAGCAAACAGGAUUGAGAUACCCGUUGUAUCCAGACCCAAGGUCCUACGUG
rnacentral:rRNA from 1 species